rnacentral:rRNA from 1 species
AUACGGAGGGUCCGAGCGUUAUCCGGAAUUAUUGGGUUUAAAGGGUCCGUAGGCGGAUGAUUAAGUCAGGGGUGAAAGUUUGCAGCUCAACUGUAAAAUUAGCCUUUGAUACUGGUUAUCUUGAGUUGUAUUGAAGUAGGCGGAAUAUGUAGUGUAGCGGUGAAAUGCAUAGAUAUUACAUAGAACACCAAUUGCGAAGGCAGCUUACUAAGUACUAACUGACGCUGAUGGACGAAAGCGUGGGUAGCGAACAGGAUUAGAUACCCUGGUAGUCCACGCCGUAAACGAUGGAUACUAGCUGUUUGGACCUUGUGUCUGAGUGGCUAAGCGAAAGUGAUAAGUAACCCACCUGGGGAGUACGUUCGCAAGAAUGAAACUCAAAGGAAUUGACGGGGGCCCGCACAAGCGGUGGAGCAUGUGGUUUAAUUCGAUGAUACGCGAGGAACCUUACCAGGGCUUAAAUGUAAGUUGCAUUAGUUAGAGAUAACUAUUUCUUCGGACCACUUACAAGGUGCUGCAUGG